AGUUCAAAGAUCUCUCACUCAGUUUGCAAAAGAAUGCUGGAAAGAAAAGUUGUAGAAAUUCACAGGCAGGAAAGCUCUAGCUCUCAAGGGGAUUGACUACAACAUCAUACCCAUUGACCUUUUAAAGGACAGGGACC
rnacentral:lncRNA from 1 species